rnacentral:rRNA from 1 species
GCUGGCGGCAGGCCUAACACAUGCAAGUCGAGCCGGAAACGACAACAUUGAAUCUUCGGAGGAUUUGUUGGGCGUCGAGCGGCGGACGGGUGAGUAAUGCCUAGGAAAUUGCCUUGAUGUGGGGGAUAACCAUUGGAAACGAUGGCUAAUACCGCAUAAUGCCUACGGGCCAAAGAGGGGGACCUUCGGGCCUCUCGCGUCAAGAUAUGCCUAGGUGGGAUUAGCUAGUUGGUGAGGUAAUGGCUCACCAAGGCGACGAUCCCUAGCUGGUCUGAGAGGAUGAUCAGCCACACUGGAACUGAGACACGGUCCAGACUCCUACGGGAGGCAGCAGUGGGGAAUAUUGCACAAUGGGCGAAAGCCUGAUGCAGCCAUGCCGCGUGUAUGAAGAAGGCCUUCGGGUUGUAAAGUACUUUCAGUUGUGAGGAAGGGGGUAACGUUAAUAGCGUUAUCUCUUGACGUUAGCAACAGAAGAAGCACCGGCUAACUCCGUGCCAGCAGCCGCGGUAAUACGGAGGGUGCGAGCGUUAAUCGGAAUUACUGGGCGUAAAGCGCAUGCAGGUGGUUCAUUAAGUCAGAUGUGAAAGCCCGGGGCUCAACCUCGGAACUGCAUUUGAAACUGGUGAACUAGAGUGCUGUAGAGGGGGGUAGAAUUUCAGGUGUAGCGGUGAAAUGCGUAGAGAUCUGAAG